GAGGCCGUGUAGCGUCGCCGUUACUCCGAGGAGAUAUCAGUCGGUAGAGGAGAAGUCGAG
rnacentral:sRNA from 1 species